rnacentral:rRNA from 1 species
GACGAACGCUGGCGGCGUGCUUAACACAUGCAAGUCGAACGAGACGAUUGGAAGCUUGCUUUUGAAAGUCGAGUGGCAAACGGGUGAGUAACGCGUAGACAACCUGCCUUUGAGAUGGGGACAACAGUUCGAAAGGACUGCUAAUACCGAAUGUUGUAUAUUUUCCACAUGGAAGAUAUAUUAAAGAUGGCCUCUAUUUAUAAGCUAUCGCUCAAAGAUGGGUCUGCGUCUGAUUAGCUGGUUGGUGGGGUAACGGCCUACCAAGGCGACGAUAAGUAGCCGGUGUGAGAGGAUGAACGGCCACAUUGGGACUGAGACACGGCCCAGACUCCUACGGGAGGCAGCAGUGGGGAAUCUUCCACAAUGGACGAAAGUCUGAUGGAGCAACGCCGCGUGAGUGAAGAAGGGUUUCGGCUCGUAAAGCUCUGUUGUCGGGGACGAAUGUGCAGUAUUUGAAUAAAGUACUGUAAUGACGGUACCUGACGAGGAAGCCACGGCUAACUACGUGCCAGCCGCCGCCGUAA